GCAGCGGCGCAUCUCCCCUCUAUUUUUUCCUCCAUCAUCUCCAACCUAUUUCUAAAGUUCUCAAAUAUGGAAAUUUCGCAAGCUAAAAAGUGAUUCCAAGCUAUUUCAGUUUCCAUUCAUCUCACUGAUUUUUUCUGGAAAAUUCAAAGACUUAAUGAGCUGUGAAAUACACUCUGACUGUUUGAUUUGCUGGAUCGCUGUAGCUGAGUUCUGAUUUGCUGUUGAUUUCAGCCUCCAUUUGGCCUUCUUUCUUUUGAAAAAUUAAUCCUCAUGCAGCUAGGGAUUUCAUUGUCGCAGAGGAAAAUCAUGCCUAUUCAAUAAAGUGGUCCCGGAGGCCCUUGGGAACUUUGACACACCAGGAACCAGCUUUAUGCGCUAUGGACGGGCUACCAUUACGCUCAGAGGUGCUAUGUUUGAAGACUUGGUUCUAGGCUGAUGUUGGUCCUAUGAAGGCUCCCUAUAGUAUAGUGAUUUUCAUUUUGUAAUUCAUUCAUAUUGGUCUGUAAUAAUAAUCUUUGUAAAAACAGAUAUUGGAGUUAUUAGUAAAGUUGGGAGGGAUUAUUAUAUA